GAAUGUAUGGCUUAGUGGGCCACAGUGCUUGGGCGGUUUCCAAGGGGCACGGGUUCAAAUCCCGCUACAUUCA
rnacentral:tRNA from 1 species